CGGGGCGGGGGGACGGGAAGGGGGAAGUGGCGGCAGGCUUGGAUGUUCGGUUAUCUCCGGUUCCUGUUGUUUGAUCAUCAUUGUUCUCCAUAUUAUCCACUGUUCUCCAGCCUGAUCCACGGGAGGAUCACAUUGGGUGUCAGGAAAAGGUUCUUCACCGAACCCAAAGGAGUUGGAAGGCACCUCUGGAGAUCAUCGUCAAGUUCAUAUGAAAAUACUUUCUGCUGACUACAUACAGCAAAUUAGAGCUGACUGGAUUAAUCAUUUCCAUUCGACUUUUUAUGUCCUGAUUCAGAUAUGGAAGACCAGAAAUUCCAACUUUUUAAAAAAAUUGUGGUAGAUCCCAAAGUAGAUUCUCAGUUUCCUUGCCUGGUGACCUGAAGCUGAGAUAACCGGUAUCUUACAAAUAACAGGGAGUAACAGCAAAGUUAAGCACGUCUGAUUGUCAGGAGGACAAAUGAUCUGGCCACCUGAAAACCCAGCCACAGCAUAGUAAAUAGGCUGAGAAGACUGGUAUCACUUGCCCACAUCCUUUGUUUCUCUUAAAAGCUGUGGAGAAAUCAACCAUAUACUUAGACUGUGAAAUGCUGUGGAGUUCUAGUGGAGUACUUUCUGUCCAUGACCUCUAUGACCUCUAUUUUUAAGUCUACAGCAUCCUUCUGUCCAGUUUGGAAAAAUAUGGAUUUGAUAUGCGGACUGUUCGAUGGACGAGGAACUGGUUACAAGAUUGUAUGCAGAGAGUGGUGAUCAAUGGCUCAAUGUCCAGAUCGAGAUCAGUAGUGUCUCUCAUAGUUUAGUUCUGGAACCAAUGCUGUUUAAUAUCUUCAUUGGUGACAUUGACAGUGGAAUCGAGCGCACCCUUAACAAGUUUGUUGUCACAGUUCAGCCUGGUUUCCAUGACGAGGUGAAGGGACCCACAGAUCCAUGCCCCAGGGAGGUGGGGGGAGAAGGGAAAAGGCAGGGAGACGGGCCUGAAUGAGGAAACCUGUCAACGGUUUACGGGUGUUUAGCCCGGUUCCGUGACGAAUGGGACAGGGAACCCAUGGGCCCACGCCCUGGGAAAAGGGAAAAGGGGAAAAGGGGAAGGAGAUGGCCCUGAGAGCAAAGAAC